AUUACGUUGUGCUGACAUCUUCUCAGUAUCUCCUUGAAUCUUUUCCAUGCUUCAAAGACUGUUUCCGUGUCCUUCUGGCAAAAGUUAUGAAUCUCUAUUAUGAAUUU
rnacentral:snoRNA from 1 species